rnacentral:rRNA from 1 species
GAUGAACGCUGGCGGCGUGCCUAAGACAUGCAAGUCGAGUGGGUUUAGACCCACGGCGAACGGGUGAGUAAUACCUAGGAACUUUUCUUUAGUUGAGGAUAUCCUCCCGAAAGGGAGAGCAAUACUCAAUGUGAUCGCAAGAUUAAAGUCGCAAGACGCUAAAGGUGAGGCCUGGGCACCAUCAGCUAGUUGGUAAGGUAACGGCUUACCAAGGCUAUGACGGUUAGGGGCCCCGAGA